GUUUGGAAGGCACAAAAGCUAAUUCUUCUGCCUCCUCCGUGUCUCAAAGCAUAAAAAUCCUCCAAUCUCCCGCCUGGAAGGUCGACGCCUGGCUGUCCACCUUCUGGGGACAGAUGAAGGCAGAGGGCUGGGGCUGUCUCAGCACACAGUCUGUAAACUUAAUCCCACUGUAGUCACCUGUGCUGCUUGUUGACCCUCUGUUGUUCCUUCUUCGGAGAAUAAAACGCCUGUCUCUGCCAGCUUUUGGGGAGAGGCAGCAACCGGACUGCAUGGCGAGUGGGAGGGUGUGGAGUCUGGCUUCUGUACAGCCCGUUUUCGGGCUCGGAAGCUCCACUGUAGCAGGACAAGCCGCAGACAAAACUCCUCAGACACCGAGUUAAAGAAGGAAGUGGUUUAUUCGGCAGGGAACAUCGGCAAGACUCCUGUCUCAAGAGCCGAGCUCCCCGGUUUUGGAGCUUUGCUGUCCAUCUGCAGCACACUCCAGUUUAGGGGACAGCUUUCCCAGGAAGGAGGCUCUAGCAGCUCCUUGCAGUAUUCCGCUUCAUAAUGAAGAGCAGCUUUCCUCCGAUGGUUCUACGGUCGUCCUAGAGCUGGGAGAAGGGAUUGCCCAGCCCAGGAAGCCCUAUCUUCUCUUCCCCUUUCAGUGGCUGCUUAUUCUCAAACUUGAGGCCUUGCUGGCUGAAGAGGUCAGGGAAGUAAACACACAAACACACCAGAAACGGCAGUCCCGUGUAUAUUUAACAAUAUAUAUUUAUAUAUAUUUUCUAAAUCAGUACAUUCAGUUUUUAACU
rnacentral:lncRNA from 10 species